rnacentral:lncRNA from 1 species
GGCCUCCUUGAGCUGUGGUGGGCUCCACCCAGUUCGAGCUUCCUGGCUGCUUUGUUUACCUAAUCAAGCCUGGGCAAUGGCGGGCGCCCCUCCCCCAGCCUCGCUGCCGCCUUGCAGUUUGAUCUCAGACUGCUGUGCUAGCAAUCAGCGAGACUCCGUGGGCGUAGGACCCUCCGAGCCAGUGAGAUGAACCCGGUACCUCAGCUGGAAAUGCAGAAAUCACCCGUCUUCUGCGUCGCUCACGCUGGGAGCUGUAGACUGGAGCUGUAGACAGGAGCUGUUCCUAUUCGGGCAUCUUGGCUCCUCCUUGACAAGCUUGAAGGUGAGCACCUCGAAGGGCUUCUUUUUAUGUUGAAAGGCACGGGUUUGCAUGGCGGUUCAUCAGAGGUCAAUACCCCAGUUUGAGAAAGUCCACUGUGGGGAGGAAAGAGAGACUUAAACAAGCCCUGGAAAAACAAAGAAUGGAACACCCCUCCGCUGACUUCAACCAACUGCCUGCUGAUGCGGCCUGACUCCCAGCCCUUUUUGCAGUUUUGAAGUGACAAACUGACUAGGCUACAAAGUAUUCAACCAUGGGCUGGUUCUGGCUGGUUCACCGAGGCUGUGUACAAAGUGUCUUCAUGUCCUGUGUUUCACCUUUUAACAUACAGAACCUAAUUUUACUGCAUUUUAAUGUUAAUUCUCCACUCGAAGGUGAACAUGGGAUGUAUGUAACACAUAUGUUUGCUUAUCAAGCACACAUAUGACCCCCUUUCAUGAAUAUUCAUAGUUCCCCCUGUGACCUGUUGAAUAUGUCUGUUUAGCCAACCUGUUUGGCAUAAAACUCCUAUCCCACCCUAUCUCCCUCAAAGUACCUGUUUGUGGUCUCAGCUGGAGGUGCCACUUCCCAGCCUGCAGUUUGCAACCCUUCUCAAGAAAUAAAGUCUUCCUUUCCAAGUU